CCUACGGGAGGCAGCAGUAAGGAAUAUUGGACAAUGCCCGCAAGGGUGAUCCAGCCAUGCCGCGUGCAGGAAGAAGGCCCUAUGGGUCGUAAACUGCUUUUACACCGGAGAAAACCUCCCUUCGUGAAGGGAGCUGAUAGUAUGGUGAGAAUAAGCAUCGGCUAACUUCGUGCCAGCAGCCGCGGUAAGACGAAGGAUGCAAGCGUUAUCCGGAUUCAUUGGGUUUAAAGGGAGCGUAGGUGGACUGAUAAGUCAGUGGUGAAAUCUUCGAGCUUAACUCGGAAAUUGCCAUUGAUACUGUUAGUCUUGAGUACAGUUGCUGUGGGCGGAAUAUGACAUGUAGUGGUGAAAUCAUAGAGAUGUCAUAGAACACCGAUUGCGAAGGCAGCUCACAAAGCUGUAACUGACACUGAGGCUCGAAAGUGCGGGGAUCAAACAGGAUUAGAUACCCUGGUAGUCCGCACUAGUAACGAUAGUAUACUACGUCUGCUAGAGGGACGUAACUUUAGUUAGGUCGUUAGUACGAACGACGAGUAAGUAA
rnacentral:rRNA from 1 species